rnacentral:rRNA from 1 species
CCUACGUGUGGCAGCAGUGGGGAAUAUUGCACAAUGGGGGAAACCCUGAUGCAGCGACGCCGCGUGAGUGAAGAAGUAAUUCGUUAUGUAAAGCUCUAUUAGCAGGGAAGAAAAUGACGGUACCUGAGUAAGAAGCCCCGGCUAACUACGUGCCAGCAGCCGCGGCAACAUGCAGGGGGCAAGCGUUAUCCGGAUUUACUGGGUGUAAAGGGAGCGUAGGCGGCAGUGCAAGUCUGGAGUGAAAGGCGGGGGUUCAACCCCCGGACUGCUGUGGAAACUGUACGGCGGGAGUGCAGGAGAGGUAAGUGGAAGUCCUAGUGUAGCGGUGAAAUGCGUAGAUAUUAGGCAGAACACCAGUGGCGAAGGCAGCUUACUGGACUGUAACUGACGUUGAGGCUCGAAAGCGUGGGGAGCAAACAGGAUUAGAUACCCUGGUAGUC